rnacentral:rRNA from 1 species
UACGUAGGGUGCAAGCGUUGUCCGGAAUUAUUGGGCGUAAAGAGCUCGUAGGCGGUUUGUCGCGUCUGCUGUGAAAACUCGGGGCUUAACCCCGGGCCUGCAGUGGGUACGGGCAGACUAGAGUGCGGUAGGGGAGACUGGAAUACCUGGUGUAGCGGUGAAAUGCGCAGAUAUCAGGAAGAACACCCGUGGCGAAGGCGGUUCUCUGGGACGGUACUGACGCUGAGACGCGAAAGCGUGGGGAGCGAACAGG